ensembl:lncRNA
CAUUAGAUCAACCUUGAAACAGCUCAUAACUGCUAAAUUACAAUACAACUUCUAUGUUGGAUUCUGAAGUCCCGUGGACCUUCUCCUCUGUGGGAGGCUAUUACUCGUUCUUCCUGGUGGAAAUGCUGGUUGGCUAUAUCCAUAGCAAUCUUGCUGACCUUAUUAUUUGGUCCAUGUAUUCUUAACUGUUUCUGUGGCUUUGACUCAUCCUGACUCAAAGCUAUAUGCCUACCCAAGAUGACAAUGCCUGGCACCUCUUGAGUGUCUUCAGAUAGACCCUCUGUAGAGUGACUGCUGAUCACAACCACAACCCUCUUCAGCUAGAAGUAGCCAGAAUGGUCUUUGCCUUUUACCCCCUCAUGGCAGUUAGGGGUGCUUCUUCAGAGGGGAGAAUAUUGUAGACAUGUAAGUUAAUUAGAUAUUUUGUAGGCAGUAAGACAGGGCCAGCCCAUGAGAAGCCAUCAUGGAAAACAGUCAAGGAGCCAACAUGGAGGACAAUCAAGACACAUUCACUGAAGGCCAGCAUUGUAAAAGGAGAGAAACUACCACAAACACAUAGGUUCACUCCUGGACCUGGCCAGACUCACACAAAUAUAUUUACAAGAAAUUAAAUUCAUAUACUCUGAUGGUUCUUUCAUUGUCUGUCAAUGAGCCCUUCUGGAUGACAGAGCAACCAGCUGCCUGGAGGAGAAGACUUGGGGUUACAUAGAUGCUGUACAUUGUGGGUUGCAAUACAAGGCAGGGGCUCACUGUGUAGUCCACGCUGG